GUGCCAGCCGCCGCGGUAAUACGGAGGGUGCAAGCGUUAUCCGGAUUCACUGGGUUUAAAGGGUGCGUAGGAGGGCAGGGAAGUCAGUGGUGAAAUCUCCGGGCUUAACCCGGAAACUGCCGUUGAUACUCUCUGUCUUGAAUAUGGUGGAGGUGAGCGGAAUAUGUCAUGUAGCGGUGAAAUGCUUAGAUAUGACAUAGAACACCGAUAGCGGAGGCAGCUUACUACACAGUCAUUGACACUGAGGCACGAAAGCGUGGGGAUCAAACAGGAUUAGAAACCCUGGUAGUCC
rnacentral:rRNA from 1 species